CUGUGCUCCAUAGUCCAUGUCGAAUCAAAGAUUGCUAUUAUUAGUGGUGUUUUUAUUGCACCAAAGCUCUUCCGUAUUUUCAGCACCCUGACCGUUGGGGGUUCCUCUCCCCAUUUUGUGGUCAGACCUGUCCCUGCCCUCUGGCUCCACCCUCCAGCCUCUCUCUCUCUGUCUCUCACCAGCAGGUGCCUCAGGGAUGCAGAGCUCAGAGCCUAACCUGCCCUCUGCCACCCAUCCAGUCAGUCUCCGUCCAGCAGGUGCAUCUGGGAGGUCACCCUGGGCUUCUCUCCACCAGCGGGGAAGCAGAACCAUGCUGGGUCCCCUCGCCUUCCUGUGUGCCCUCCUGUAUCCCGGUGGCGUGGCAGCGAUCAGUGUGGAGCAGCCAGCCGUGGUGGUGGCGCGUGCAGGCAGGUGGGCCACGCUGCCCUGCAAAACCAGCACCUCGGUCAGCUACAUCCACUGGUACCGCCACCAGCAGGGUACAGCCCCCAAGAGGAUCCUCAUGCUGGAUAUGUCCAGCUCACAUGUGACCAGAGAUGGUGUCUUGACAGCGGACAAGGUCCACGCCAAGAAAGGCAAGGAUAGCACAAGCUCUAACCUGUUGCUGCUGAAGCUGGCGAAGAGCGAUGAGGGCGUGUAUUACUGUGCUGUUUGGGAAGAGCAGAGCACAGCCUUACGGGAAGCUCAGAGCUGUGCCGGACUGACGAUUCAAGAUUCUGACCAUCUCCAAUGAAGAAUGUGGGAAUAAAAUACCAUGCAAAUAAUUUCAAGGCCGAGAGACUCUCUGGGGAUUCCACACAAAAUGGGUGCAAGCCGAGACUGGAAGGCAGCUCCUGACUCCAGUUUCUAAGUUGUCACCCCGCCCACCGCUGGUUCCUGUGCAGAGAGAGAGAGACUCCUUGAUCAGAAGCCCAGGCAACAGUGUGGCUGACUUUGUAGCACCCUCACCCAUGCCUGGCGCUCACUCUCCUGCGGGGGGAAAUGAUCCUCAGGGCAGGUGCAUGCAUCAGCCCUGGAUGAGACCCCGGGCCCUCCACCUUCCCCUUUUCCUUGAAAGUGACUCCAUAUGGGAUUUGGGGACCAGCUUCCCUGGACCUCUGUUCUCUCCUCUGUAAAGUGAGGAGGUUUAACUGCUACAAUGUGUGACUGAUUUGUGUAUUAAAGCAAAAUUAUACCAAAAAUAUAUCACUAUGUUCACUAACUUCUUAUAAAGUUAGUCAACUUCUUGACCAAAAGAAAAAAAAAAGAAAAAAGAAAGAAAAGAAAUUAAAGACAAGAAAAGCUAUUUUACUAAUUCCCUAGCCAUAAACAGGAGAGGCCCUGCUGUGUGGAGGGAAGAUAAAACUCUCUGAGGAGGUCUAAGCUGAAUUAAGUGCAUUUUCAACUGAAAAUUCCAGUUUUACGUACAACUUAAUAGCAUUGGCAAAAAUAAUUAAUGAAAGGGAAGUCUAAAUGAUCGGAAGUAAAUUGGUUUCUCGGAUUUGCUAAA